CUCCCCACGCCGAGCAUUCUUGUUCCUCUUUAACACAGAUUUCUUGGCCAAUUUAAUAGCCUUUAUCUUCUGAGCAGAAUCCUUCAGGCCCUCUCCCGGUAUAACUUCACCAGGAGGUCGUGAUUGUGACCUUGACCGAGAUGUAGACCUUAGACGGAGCUUUUUGCUUGCUUGGUUGUCAUCUAUAUCCAUAGCAUCUCCACCAUCACCCUCUCUCUUAUCAACUGAUCGCUCCCUUUUCCGGCCUCUUGACUUGCUACGAGCACGAUUAAUUGCAAGAGAGGGAUCCAGCCCCAAAGAAGAUAGCUGCCGGCCCAUCCUCCCUGUUGUGAACUUUCUAUCUGUGUCGAACUUUCUUGGUACAACAGGUCGACUUUCUGCAGUGCUUUUCUUCAUCCUAUGCUGUUGAAUAAGCAAGCUCUUCUUUUUCCUAAUCUCAGCCAGUGCUUCUUGCUCUUCCAGGGAUAAUUCUUGGCCAUCCAUCUCAAAGUCAUCACCUUCCUCCUC
rnacentral:lncRNA from 1 species